GUGGUAAUGCCGGAUGCUCCAGUUGAUCGCAUGGUCUUCUGGGAAAGCUUUCGCGGUAUGGGAUGGGGUCGCGUCCUAUCAGCUUGACGGCGGGGUAACGGCCCACCGUGGCUUCGACGGGUAGCCGGCCUGAGAGGGCGACCGGCCACAUUGGGACUGAGAUACGGCCCAGACUCCUACGGGAGGCAGCAGUGGGGAAUAUUGCACAAUGGGCGCAAGCCUGAUGCAGCGACGCCGCGUGAGGGAUGGAGGCCUUCGGGUUGUAAACCUCUUUUAUCGGGGAGCAAGCGAGAGUGAGUUUACCCGUUGAAUAAGCACCGGCUAACUACGUGCCAGCAGCCGCGGUAAUACGUAGGGUGCAAGCGUUAUCCGGAAUUAUUGGGCGUAAAGGGCUCGUAGGCGGUUCGUCGCGUCCGGUGUGAAAGUCCAUCGCUUAACGGUGGAUCCGCGCCGGGUACGGGCGGGCUUGAGUGCGGUAGGGGAGACUGGAAUUCCCGGUGUAACGGUGGAAUGUGUAGAUAUCGGGAAAGAACACC
rnacentral:rRNA from 1 species